GAUGAAGAACGUAGUGAAAUGCGAUAAGUAAUGUGAAUUGCAGAAUUCAGUGAAUCAUCGAAUCUUUGAACGCACCUUGCGCUCCUUGGUAUUCCUUGGAGCAUGCCUGUUUGAGUAUCAUGAAAUCUUCAAAGUCAAACCUUUUGUUAAUUCAAUUGGUUCUGCUUUGGUAUUGGAGGAUUAUUGCAGCUUCACACCUGCUCCUCUUUGUGCAUUAGCUGGAUCUCAGUGUUAUGCUUGGUUCCACUCAGCGUGAUAAGUUAUCUAUCGCUGAGGACACCCUGUUAAAAAGGGGUGGCCAAGGUAAAUGCAGAUGAACCGCUUCUAAUAGUCCAUUGACUUGGACAAUAUCUAAUUUAUGAUCUGAUCUCAAAUCAGGUAGGACUACCCGCUGAACUUAAGCAUAUCAAUAAGCGGAGGA
rnacentral:misc_RNA from 1 species